GACGGAUCAGCUCUGUGCAAAUGUAUCCGAUGAAGCAUUGUACGGAGC
ncrna:unclassified sequences uup RNA